rnacentral:rRNA from 1 species
GACGAACGCUGGCGGCGUGCUUAACACAUGCAAGUCGAACGGUGAAGCUCCAGCUUGCUGGAGUGGAUCAGUGGCGAACGGGUGAGUAACACGUGAGCAACCUGCCCCUGACUCUGGAAUAAGCGCUGGAAACGGCGUCUAAUACUGGAUACGAGAAGGGUCCGCAUGGGCACUUUCUGGAAAGUUUUUCUGUUGGGGAUGGGCUCGCGGCCUAUCAGCUUGUUGGUGAGGUAGUGGCUCACCAAGGCGACGACGGGUAGCCGGCCUGAGAGGGCGACCGGCCACACUGGGACUGAGACACGGCCCAGACUCCUACGGGAGGCAGCAGUGGGGAAUAUUGCACAAUGGGCGAAAGCCUGAUGCAGCGACGCCGCGUGAGGGAUGACGGCCUUCGGGUUGUAAACCUCUUUCAGCAGGGAAGAAGCGAAAGUGACGGUACCUGCAGAAGAAGCACCGGCUAACUACGUG